rnacentral:sRNA from 1 species
CGGGCUUAAGUCCAAAGUGAACAGGCUUGGAUUUUGGGCUUAUUCGAGUCCAUAACAUAACCCUGUGUUCCCAUCUUCUCUACCUGGUUAGGUUUUCGCCCUUCCUCUCCCGCCUCCCCCGAUCUAUAUUACAAAGCUUUUCUUCUUCUCCCACAAAAUUAAUUUCAUUUCAACUUUCAAUCUUCUUCUCCUCCUUCUUCAUCGUAGUGGUGUGUUUGUGAAGUUGAUUCGGCGUGGAAAUGAUGGGAAUAGUAAAAGGUUUGAGCAGGAGGAGAGCAUGUUGGUUUGGUUUGGCAGUGACAGUGUUUGGAGUUAGGGCAAAGUGAAGAAGGCCCCUGUCCCUUGCCGAGUUAUUGCAUGGCGACGCUCGCAACUUCUUCCAUAUCAAUGAUGAUCUCAGGGGUUGUAUGAAAAGGCGUGGGUUGCAUUCUAGUAUGGAAUCGCAACUUAGACUUCUCCCCUCACAUUGUUCCCUCCCUUCGACACAGUCACUGUUCCGCCACCAAUGCGCUUCCUGCGUUGAUUACAAACUCCUCUCUGAUCCACGCCAUCAAACAUAUCUGCCUUAUUUCAUCAAUUUGUAAAUCGUCGAUAUUCACUAUUCACUAACCUAAUAUUCUCCCUAUUAUUCCUGUUUUUUGGUCAUUUCUGCAACUUUUCUUUUUACAUAAAUACUGAUCCACAUCCACAUUUUUGUGAUAUUGUCAGAACUUGAAGUUGGCGGUGAUUCGCAUAUUUGAUCUGUAACAGUAGGGAACGCUCAGAUGUUUUUCAGUGUGUCUUUGUUGCUUCUAAAUGUCUGGGACGCUUGCUUCUCCUCAAUUGUUGUCGUUCGCACUCCUUCAGCUCGUACUGCUCGUCUACUUUCAACAACGGAGAGGGGAGGUACCUGUGAAGAUACUCCGAUGCUCAAGUCAGACGUGAGUUAUGGAGCCUCAACUCUCAAGAAAGUGAUUAUAUUAUUACUAUAGAAUAUUAUCUAGAGUCAAUAAAAUGUAAGUGGAACGUACUUGGACUUUGGCCCUGUUAUUGUAUUUAUAAGUGUAAAAUAAAAACAACCUUACCUGGAAAUCUAGUUAGUCACUCAUCGCUUAAAA